rnacentral:rRNA from 1 species
CCUACGGGUGGCAGCAGUGGGGAAUAUUGGGCAAUGGGCGCAAGCCUGACCCAACAACGCCGCGUGAAGGAAGAAGGCCUUCGGGUUGUAAACUUCUUUUGUCAGGGACGAAGAAAGUGACGGUACCUGACGAAUAAGCCACGGCUAACUACGUGCCAGCAGCCGCGGUAAUACGUAGGUGGCAAGCGUUAUCCGGAUUUACUGGGUGUAAAGGGCGUGUAGGCGGGAGAGCAAGUCAGACGUGAAAUUCCAGGGCUCAACCCUGGAACUGCGUUUGAAACUGUUCUUCUGGAGUGAUGGAGAGGCAGGCGGAAGGCCGUGUGUAGAGGUGAAAUGCGUAGAUAUACGGAGGAACACCAGUGGCGAAGGCGGCCUGCUGGACAUUAACUGACGCUGAGGCGCGAAAGCGUGGGGAGCAAACAGGAUUAGAUACCCCGGUAGUC